AAUCUUGCGCAAUGGGCGAAAGCCUGACGCAGCCAUGCCGCGUUAAUGAUGAAGGUCUUAGGAUUGUAAAAUUCUUUCACCGGGGACGAUAAUGACGGUACCCGGCUAAGAAGCCCCGGCUAACUUCGUGCUAGCAGCCGCGGUAAUACGAAGGGGGCUAGCGUUGCUCUGAAUAACUGGUCGUAAAGGGCGCGUAGGCGGAUCGUUAAGUCAGAGGUGAAAUCCCAGGGCUCAACCCUGGAACUGCCUUUGAUACUGGCGAUCUUGAGUAUGAGAGAGGUAUGUGGAACUCCGAGUGUAGAGGUGAAAUUCGUAGAUAUUCGGAAGAACACCAGUGGCGAAGGCGACAUACUGGCUCAUUACUGACGCUGAGGCGCGAAAGCGUGGGGAGCAAACA
rnacentral:rRNA from 1 species